CAUGCCUACUGCUGCCUGCAGAUUUGACUAUGAAAAAGCAGGUGACACAAGUUUGGAUCUCAAUGGAAAAUGGAGCUCGCAUAAGAAGCACAAAUAUUUCACAGUGUUGUAAUUAGAGCACACUAAAGGAGCCUGGUACCCAGAAAUGGUGGAAUGAACAGAGACUAGAGCUAAGAGGGAGCUGGAAGCCAUCUCAAGAGGUCAUCUUAACUCAUCCUUCUACUCCAAAGCAGAAUCAGCUCAACCCAAAGCAUUCCUGACAGCCACUGGCCAGGCGUCAUGGACAGGUUCACCUGCAUGUGCAGUCCAGACCUUGCAAUGUGUGAAUGGGAGUCUUGAAGAGAGAAGAAAAGUGGUAAGCAUUUGCUUUAAACAACCUACAGGCUUG